UGAAAUGUAAAUAAAGAAAAUAUCUAAAAGAAAAAAAGAAAACCAAGAGUGAGGUGUGGUGCCGGGCCAGGUGGAGCUCCUGUGCAAGGCUCUGAAUGUAUACAUUAGAGACCAUUCUUGCCAUCUCCUCCUCGACCUAGGCAAUUCCAGUCUUCUCUCUCAAAAACUCUGUUCCUGAUUCUUUUGUGCAUGACCCUAUCUACUUCGUAAGGUAGCUGAGGUGAUAAGCAAAGUCAAGAGUAUUCUUUCUGCAUGUGUAUUUCACAAGCCUGGGGGUGUCUGCACACACUAGCUGAAGAAACACAGAAUGAUCUCGGAUCCUAUUUCCAGAGUCCUGAACAUUUCGCACAAGCCCUCAGAGGUGAGCCAGCCCAAUGUCGCUGACAUGAUAAACAAGAAUUGCUGGAAGAGAAUAAAUCAAGGCAGAAAACAAUGAACCCAUGAUGUAAUUAAAGUCACUGUGAAAGAACCUAGGAGGGAGGGAAUGAGGGAAGGAAUGAGUCAGCCGCAAAUGUAAGCGAUGGAUCAGGGAGUGUUGUGGGACACAAUUCCUGGCUAUUUCCAGAAAGCCUGGUGCCCCAGUUAAAAGAGCACCUUGAGCCUGAAGCUCAACAUCUGGAAGGAGCCACUCCUGACAUCCUAAUGCCUUUCUGUUGCCACCCCAGGCAGUGGAAGCAGUGCUGGGAGCAGGAAGAAGACAGUCAACGCUGGAACCUUAGAAGAGAAAUGAACAGGUAGAGGAAAUUCCAUGGAACCCAGGGCUCUAAACCACCUGCCUACCUACUGAGAACCACAUGGACUGUACAUGGUAACAUUGCAGAUGUCUUAACUGCCAUCAAGGAUCACCAGUGCUUUGAACUUAAGGGUGGAUCCAGAACUCUGAGGGAAGGACUGGAAACUCAAUAAGACAGAUGGACAUGUCCUCCAGAGACCGUCCAGUUCUGAAUUAAAGAAGGAAACUGCAAAUCUGGAGUAUUUAAAGGUCGUGUGAAAAUCCUGGAACCCUCAAGUUCAGUCUGUUCCCACCUAAAUAACGUGUAUGGAAACCAGGCAAGGCCACCAAACCCUUCUCAUCACUG